GUUCUUCAAGAAUCCACAUUCCUCUAUAAGACCUCUGGAAAGGCUAGGCCCCUCUCAUCCCCAUACAGCAGAUUGUAUCCUACUUGAUACAAGGAGUCAUGAGUUGGAGACCUUCAAUUUAUUGGACUAUAGUAUCUCAAGUGUCAGUGUUGAUCCUAUUAUGAAGACGGUUGUGGACACUGACAGAGUGCAUAAGAAAGCCAACAGGGCAAUAAAAUGAGAGACAGUAUGUGGAUGCUGAUACAAAACAUUAUCUUGGAAGACUGUGCUAUGUUAGAAAGAUUGAAGAUUAAGAUUGAAAUUAGGGUUGCUAAGAGAAACAAAGUUGAAGUUCUCAAAUCAGAAACCCUUACAACUCAAAGGAAUCUGAAAACCAAGACAACAAAUUAUGCUCUCAAAAGUCAUAAAUAUAAAAGAAAAAAAUCACUAGACAUCCCUACUUGGAAUUAAAUGGGGAUAUCUAAUGACCAGAAAUCUCAAAAAUCUCCCUUGAGUAACAUCUGAAAGUUCCAGAGUCCCAGAGGGAUACAAAUCAUGUCCAAAGAAGAAGGGCUGAGGGAUUCAGAGUUAUAUGGCAUUAAUAACCGCAAGUAAGCACCUUUGGAGUGUGUGUACAAAAUAAACAAGAUAAGCGAUGUUUAACUGGUAGGAAAUUUGAAUAUCUAGUAUUAGAGAAAAAAGACAUCACCUUUACCAAGAAGAGAAAAUUAAGUAUAGUUUAGGUGAACAGAAGAACCGAUUCUCUUAAAGUAAAAUCGACAUACAUUUUCAACUUAAAAAAUCUUUUCAUGCUAAGUUUGAUGUAAGUGAUCACUGGAUGACUGGCCAGAGGGUAAAUACAUUAAGACUGAAAAAAAGAAAAAUAAGCAAAAGUUAAUAGAAAGUCCUGGACUUCUAAAGGGGCCAUGUUCCAAAUUUGUUCAGAAGUCAGUUGUUCUACACCACAAACUUGAUUGAGCAUAGGGAGUGUUGUAAUGGUAGUUAGGUUCUACUUACACACAGCACCAAGAGUCUGUCUGCACAAUACACUGGCUGAGAUCUAAAAAGAUCAAAAUCAGAAAUGGGGAUGGGAUGGAGAUUUAGGCCAGAAUGAAAGCAAAUACUUGUGCUGAUCCAGGAUACAAGAG